UGGGGACACCAAAAUUGGGGGGGGUGACAAUGCCACCCCUGUGGGGACACCCAGAUGGAGGUGACAAUGCCAUCCUCUAUGGGUGACAAUGCCACUCCUGUGAGGACACCAAAAUGGAGGGCUGACAAUGACACACAUAUGGAGAGGUGGCAGUGCCACCCCCUUGGGGACACCCAUAUGGCAGGUGACAAUGCCAUCCUCCUUUAUGACACCCUCAAAAAUGUCAUGGGGGUGACAAUUGCCGCCCUUGUGGUGACGCACACAGAAAUGACAUGAGGCGGGGACAAGUGUCGCCCCCUUGUGGACACUCAAAAAUGUCAUGGGAGGGUGACAAGCGUCACCUCCAUUGGGACAUCUACAUGAGGAGGUGACAAUUGCCUCCCUCCAUGGGCACACCCCCAAAAAUGACACUGGAGGGGGCUGUCCUCAGUGUCCCCACCUUGGUGUCCCCAAGCUGUCACCGAUUUUGGGGGGCAUUGUCCCUUUUCCCACCCGCACUUUGUCCCCAAGCCAUGCCUCCCAGCUCGGUGUCACUGGCUCAGAGCAGGGAGGUGACAGUGACAAAGCAGGGGGUGACAGCGCCAGGUGAGGGGGUGGCAGGUCCCAAGCUGUCCCCAAACCCCCCCCAGUGUCCCCUUUUCCCGGCUGGUGUCCCCGUGAGCGUGAUGUCCCCGCGUGCGUGUGCGUCCGUCCCCUUCAUGGCAUCGUGCAAAUCCCUCGCUGAAGCAAGAAGACAACAAUAACAAAAAAAAAAAUAUCAAAAUUAACAACAAAACAACUCAAUUCUGGUUCAGACCAGGAAAAGCAUAUUUAAAAAAUGAUUUAAAAAAAAGAGGAAAAUGUGUAAAAAUGACAAAAAAAACCCAAACCCAAGCGCUGCCUGCAUCGUGCAUGUGUCGGAGGCGCCCGCUGCAUGCGCUCCCCGCUUUACUCGUCUGGAUGUUGUUUCAAAACAAACAAAAAAAAAAGGCUCUGAAAAGGACAAAAAAAUAAAAGGACAAACUGAGAAGAAAAAGCAAAAAAACGCCAAAAAAAAAAGGAAAAACAAGGAAUUUCUGGUUCUCCUUAGAGGCUGUUUUGGGGUUUCUACGCCGUCGUGUGUCUCUCUCUCUCUCUCUCUCUCUUCCGCAUGAAUUUUCUCGUGAACUGUUUUAAAAAGGAAAUAAAAGGAACAAAAAGUACAAAAAAUAGUAGAAAAUGGAGGAAAAAAAAUGAAAAAAAAGAAGAAAAAUGUAAAAAAAAAAAGCCUCGCACAGGGGAAAAGCGGGGGAGGGGAGGGAGGGGACCCCCCCACCCUGUGCCACCCCCCCUCUGUGUCCCCCGUGUCACCGUGGAUGCCAUGGGUAGUUGUGUGUGACCGUUGUAAUUCCCGUGACAAAAGGGUUGCUUUUUUUUAUUUUCCUUUUUCCCUUUAUAAUUUUUCUUUUCUAUCAGAGUGUCUGGCUUUAAUAAAAUUACCUUUUUUUUUUU